rnacentral:rRNA from 1 species
AUUGAACGCUGGCGGCAGGCUUAACACAUGCAAGUCGAGCGGAGCGAGGGUGCUUGCACCUUAGCUUAGCGGCGGACGGGUGAGUAAUGCUUAGGAAUCUGCCUAUUAGUGGGGGACAACAUUCCGAAAGGAAUGCUAAUACCGCAUACGCCCUACGGGGGAAAGCAGGGGAUCUGCGGACCUUGCGCUAAUAGAUGAGCCUAAGUCGGAGUAGCUAGUUGGUGGGGUAAAGGCCUACCAAGGCGACGAUCUGUAGCGGGUCUGAGAGGAUGAUCCGCCACACUGGGACUGAGACACGGCCCAGACUCCUACGGGAGGCAGCAGUGGGGAAUAUUGGACGAUGGGCGGAAGCCUGAUCCAGCCAUGCCGCGUGUGUGAAGAAGGCCUUUUGGUUGUAAAGCACUUUAAGCGGGGAGGAGGCUACUUAGAUUAAUACUCUGGGAUAGUGGACGUUACUCGCAGAAUAAGCACCGGCUAACUCUGUGCCAGCCGCCGCAGUAA